AAAAUUUUUAUAUGGAAAAAAAUUUUUUUUUGCAUUUCUGCACAUUUCAUGAAAAAAUACGUCGGUUCUCAAAAAAAAAUUUUUUGAUACGCCCUUAUGGCAUCCGAGGUGGAUCCCGAGAGCCAUAAGGACGUAUAAAAAAAUUUUUUUCCGGGAAUCGAUGUAUUUUUGUCCGAAAUGUGCAGAAAUUGCAACAAAAAAUUUUUCUCCAAA